rnacentral:rRNA from 1 species
ACGAACGCUGGCGGCGCGCCUAACCCAUGCAAGUCGAACGAGCGAGAGAGAGCUUGCUUUCUCAAGCGAGUGGCGAACGGGUGAGUAACGCGUGAGGAACCUGCCUCAAAGAGGGGGACAACAGUUGGAAACGACUGCUAAUACCGCAUAAGCCCACGACCCGGCAUCGGGUAGAGGGAAAAGGAGCAAUCCGCUUUGAGAUGGCCUCGCGUCCGAUUAGCUAGUUGGUGAGGUAACGGCCCACCAAGGCGACGAUCGGUAGCCGGACUGAGAGGUUGAACGGCCACAUUGGGACUGAGACACGGCCCAGACUCCUACGGGAGGCAGCAGUGGGGAAUAUUGCACAAUGGGGGAAACCCUGAUGCAGCGACGCCGCGUGGAGGAAGAAGGUCUUCGGAUUGUAAACUCCUGUUGUUGAGGAAGAUAAUGACGGUACUCAACAAGGAAGUGACGGCUAACUACGUG